GGAAGGGUGGCCGAGUGGUUUAAGGCAGCGGUCUUGAAAACCGCCGAGGGUAACACCUCCGUGAGUUCGAAUCUCACCUCUUCCGCCA
rnacentral:tRNA from 1 species